ACCUACUACAACCUUUACUUUCACCGAGACACUACAAUUUAUUUCUCACUGCCACAACCUCUCCCUCUUCUCCGCCAUAGUUCCACCACUGCAUAGCCCCAAAAACUCUCCUCCAUAAAGCCGCCCUCCUUGCAAUCGUAACACUAGUUUCCUCGACCAACCCCACCACUUGAGAACCGUCUGCCACCAUAAAAACCAAUAGCGUUGGCCGCCCAACUUCAAUAAUUUCAGCACACUUAUUGUCAGACUCAUGCAAUCUAUCCUAAAGCCAUCAAUUCAUCCCGCGAAAUCGUCGUCGGUAGAUCUAUUUGAGGUUUCUUUGCUAGAAAUCGGUGGCUGAGGGAGAACAAGAGGAAGUUAUAAAUUUUUAGGUUAUAAUUUUGGCCCAAUUACAAGUCCCAGCUCAGGUUUUGCUUUGCCUCUCACCUUUGGUGGUUACUAGGGCUGCUAUAUCUAUGCUUGAGCAGGUUUGCACUUGGCUUUAUCUCCGACUAUGGCCUUCUUGAAGGUGAAGCAAAUGAACAAGGAUAGGUGAAAGAUAUGAAGAUCUUAUUCAAGAGUAUUGGUUGAUUGUUGUUAGACUUUUAGAUGUUCUAGAAUCUUUUAUUUUAGAAACAUUCGCCAACUUAUGUAUUAACUCUUGAAUUCCCAAACGGUAUUGUAUAUUUAGCUUUUAUAUAUAGAUAAUGCUAGUUGGAUAUUUUAGAUAUAAUUUUAUA